ACUGUUUAGCAUGUUGUAAGUCGCUAUGGCUAAAUAUGCGUCAGCCAAAUGUAAUGUAAUGUAACGUGAAUGAAUGUAAUAAAUGUACACAUCCAC